rnacentral:rRNA from 1 species
AAGUCGGUUGUGAAAGCCUUCCGCUCAACGGAAGAACGGCAUCCGAUACUGCAUGGCUUGAGUGUGGGAGGGGAGAGUGGAACUUCUGGUGGAGCGGUGAAAUGCGUAGAUAUCAGAAGGAACACCGGCGGCGAAGGCGACUCUCUGGUCCAUAACUGACGCUGAGUGUGCGAAAGCUAGGGGAGCAAACGGGAUUAGAUACCCCGGUAGUCCUAGCCGUAAACGAU